CAGGUGUGUCUGCAUGGAGAGAGUCUCCUCCAUGAAUGGGGAAGUGGUGUAUUUAUCCUGGGAGGCACCGGGCCCAGGUGUGUCUGCAUGGAGAGAGUCUAAACCAUGAAUGGGGAAGUGGUGUAUUUAUCCUGGGAGACACUGGGCCCAGGUGUGUCUGCAUGGAGAGAGUCUCCUCCAUGAAUGGGGAAGUGGUGUAUUUAUCCUGGGAGACACCUGGCCCAGGUGUGUCUGCAUGGAGAGAGUCUCCUCCAUGAAUGGGGAAGUGGUGUAUUUAUCCUGGGAGACACCUGGCCCAGGUGUGUCUGCAUGGAGAGAGUCUCCUCCAUGAAUGGGGAAGUGGUGUAUUUAUCCUGGGAGACACCGGGCCCAGGUGUGUCUGCAUGGAGAGAGUCUCCAUGAAUGGGGAAGUGGUGUAUUUAUCCUGGGAGACACCGGGCCCAGGUGUGUCUGCAUGGAGAGAGUCUCCUCCAUGAAUGGGGAAGUGGUGUAUUUAUCCUGGGAGACACCGGGCCCAGGUGUGUCUGCAUGGAGAGAGUCUCCUCCAUGAAUGGGGAAGUGGUGUAUUUAUCCUGGGAGACACCGGGCCCAGGUGUGUCUGCAUGGAGAGAGUCUCCUCCAUGAAUGGGGAAGUGGUGUAUUUAUCCUGGGAGACACCGGGCCCAGGUGUGUCAGCAUGGAGAGAGUCUCCUCCAUGAAUGGGGAAGUGGUGUAUUUAUCCUGGGAGACACCUGGCCCAGGUG